CUGGGCCAUAAUAUAUUGAUAUUAGUAUAAUAGUCUCAGAGUUAAGCAACUUUAAUCAAUAGUUUGAAACAUUCAUAAAAAAUAUAGGGAAUUAUAUACACCAAUCAAUUAGAUGUUACCAAAAGUCUCUUAAUGCGUGUGGGAUGCGUAAUUUUUCCCUUUGGGAUCAAUAUUCUUCUGUCAGCUGUUCCAUCCGUGCGUCCGUAGUAAUUAUUGUAAAAGUACGGAUUUCGGUCAUAGCUGGUCCGGUUCAGAUCCGUAGUUUAGAAAUCGGUCAAUGGCGGACGAAUGCAAAAAAAUUUACAAAAAUAAACGAUGUUUGACAAGUUAUUUGGAAAGAAACAUGACGGUUUUAAUGCAAUAAAUGGAUUAAACAUUUACUGGAGGCAACUUUUAUCACGUUUAAAUGAAGUAACAAACUUAUUUUGCCG
rnacentral:lncRNA from 1 species